CUUAGGACCGUUAUAGUUACGGCCGCCGUUUACUGGGGCUUCAAUUCAAAGCUUCGCUUACGCUAACCUCUCCUCUUAACCUUCCAGCACCGGGCAGGCGUCAGCCCCUAUACUUCGCCUUGCGGCUUCGCAGAGACCUGUGUUUUUGCUAAACAGUCGCCUGGGCCUAUUCACUGCGGCUCUCUCGGGCUUGCACCCUACCAGAGCACCCCUUCUCCCGAAGUUACGGGGUCAUUUUGCCGAGUUCCUUAACGAGAGUUCUCUCGCUCACCUUAGGAUUCUCUCCUCGCCUACCUGUGUCGGUU
rnacentral:rRNA from 1 species